rnacentral:rRNA from 1 species
AUUGAACGCUGGCGGCAUGCUUUACACAUGCGAGUCGAACGGCAGCGCGGGCUUCGGCCUGGCGGCGAGUGGCGAACGGGUGAGUAAUGCAUCGGAACGUGCCCAGUAGUGGGGGAUAGCCCGGCGAAAGCCGGAUUAAUACCGCAUACGACCUGAGGGUGAAAGCGGGGGACCGAAAGGCCUCGCGCUAUUGGAGCGGCCGAUGUCGGAUUAGCUAGUUGGUGGGGUAAAGGCUUACCAAGGCGACGAUCCGUAGCUGGUCUGAGAGGACGACCAGCCACACUGGGACUGAGACACGGCCCAGACUCCUACGGGAGGCAGCAGUGGGGAAUUUUGGACAAUAGGGGCAACCCUGAUCCAGCCAUGCCGCGUGCGGGAAGAAGGCCUUCGGGUUGUAAACCGCUUUUGUUCGGGAAGAAAUCCUCUGGGCUAAUACCCCGGGGGGAUGACGGUACCGGAAGAAUAAGCACCGGCUAACUACGUG